UAAUUCUAGAGCUAAUACAUGCUGUUGUGCCUGACUCAAGAAAGGCCGUAUUUAUUAGAUAUCAGCCAAUAAGCAUCUGCUAUUGUGGUGACUCAUAGUAACUUAAUCGGAUCGCGUGGGCUCGUCCCGCGACAAACCAUUCAAGUUUCUGCCCCAUCAUGCUUUCGAUGGUAGUGUAUUGGACUACCAUGGCUUUCACGGGUAACGGAGGAUUAGGGUUCGAUUCCGGAGAGGGAGCCUGAGAAACGGCUACCACAUCUAAGGAAGGCAGCAGGCGCGUAAAUUACCCAAUCCUGACUCAGGGAGGUAGUGACAAGAAAUAACGGACCGGUUCCUUCGGAUUCGGGAUU
rnacentral:rRNA from 1 species